rnacentral:lncRNA from 1 species
UUCAGUGUUGUUCAAAUCACACACAUUCCAUUAUUUGAUUUUAGAGAGCACAGUAGAUAGGUUUCAGCUUCCCUAGAGAAUUCUAGAAGGUUCUUGGAUGGUUACUUCAAACGAAGAAUACUGCUGUACCUGAGUUGAACAGCUAGGGAUUUCCUAUAUUAACCUGGCUUCGGCACAUAUUAAAAUGACCUGACUUCUAUCCAAGGGAAAUUCAAGGUAUUAUGUCAAGAAUCUAAUAAAUACAUCUUUACUAUCAUGUCAGAGCUAAUAGCACCUCUCUAAUUGAGUCUCUCUAAUGUUUGCCUCGGAAGCUUGGCUUUUUGUUUGUUUAUUUGUUUGAAUUGUCUUUUUUUUUUCUGUUUUUUUUUUUUUUUGACUUGUGGUAAAUAACGUGCCCUUGGUUUGUCUUCCUAGACAUUCGCAGUCAUGAGUUUCAUUUGUAUUAAAGAGAUUUUAUUAUUUACUGAGGUGGUAAGCACAGAUCUCACAUAUUUUUCUCUCACUGCUUGAAAGGCCCUGCUCAGGCCACUUUAAAAAUAAAUAUAUUAAAAUUUACCCUAGCAUUGCGAAUGAGUGAUGUCAUCCAGAGUGUUACUAGGGAUGGCAGACAGUCUUCUCUGAACACAAAGCUUGACAAGAAGCCUCACAGUGAGAGCCUCAGCCUGAAGCAUUCCUGUCAGAACCUCACACUGCCUUUGUUUUCGCCUUGGCCGUUCUUUGUGCACUGUGCAUAUUCAGCCACUGGGUGGCAGUAUGUGCUUAAGAAUAUUUAAUGUUUGCCACCUUGUUUUGACAGAAUUUAAGAAGUCAGGUUUUUGUUUGUUUGUUUGUUUGUUUGUUUUUGUUUGUUUGUUUUGUUUUUUGCUUUUCAAUCUUGCAAAAUGACCAUUGUAUUGAAUAUAAGAAAUACAAGUAUUUUCUGAAUGCAACAGCCUACUCAUAAAGUGCCUGAAAAUACUUCUUUUAAAAAUAUAUUUAAUUUGAGUUUUACAGUUUCCGAGGAUUGAAUUCAUGACCACCAUGGUGGGAGACCAUGAGGCAGAGAGAACUAACAGGGAAUGGGGUGGGCAUUGGCACACUUCCUUCAACAAGAACACAUAUCCUAAUCCCUCCCAAACAGUUCCACCUCCUGGGGACCAAACGUCUGAAUGUACAUGCCUAUGGAAGUCACUCUUGUUCAAAUCUCCACAGUUAAAAUGUAUGGUGAUGCUCUGCUUGGCUUUUCUCAAAGAUGUUGGAACCCAGCUAACUUUGUAGGCCUCCUCUCUAAGAAGCUUCUAUUGCAGAAUUGGGAGUCUGUAAAUUCUAUCAGAACACCACACACCUUCUCCAACUCAUGGGAGUGGUUUUCUGACACCAGGUCCUAGUACUGACAGGAGACACACACACACACACACACAAACACCCAUCCCUAACUCAGACGUGAUGUUCACUGAUGACCAAUCGCAAAUGGAAAAUCAGUUCUUGCUAAUGAAUCACAGUGGAAUCACCCAUAAGGCCAGCCACCAUGCCCAGCUGUAGCUGGCCAACACAAAACAAAGGAAUUGGCAUUGUUGGGGGUUCUUUGUCUCAGAAGGUUUUAACAAGGCUGGGGCAUUGUUUGUUUUAUUACCUUGUAGGUCCUUUGCAUAACAUCAGAGCUUCCUGUUUUCUGUGUGCAUAAACAUGUGUGUCUCUGCAUCUACAUGUGUAUCUCACGCUCUCUCUUCGGCUCUUUUCUUCUGUUUGUGUCUUUGUUUUGUCCUGUAUCUGCUUUUGUAUAUACAUAUAUACAAUUUUGUGUGUAUAUAUAUAUAUAUGUAUAUAUAUAUAUAUGCGUGUGUGUGUAUACAUAUAUAUGUGUGCGUGCGCGUGUGCACACACACACACACACACACACACAGAAUGCAUUCGGUUUGCCUAUCUGGCCUCUGGUUCUUGGCCACUCAAGCAGUGUUAGGGAUGGGCUCCAUUGCAUAGGCUUUAAGUUAAAUCAGACGAGCUUUCUGCCACAAUUGCACCGGUAUAUCUUGCAGGAGAAUCAACAUUGUAGAUCACAGACUUGGUAGCUGGAUUUGGAUUUAUCUUUCUCCUUUCAUGGCAUGCAGGGUAGCCUCCAGUACCAUGAACACUAGUCUCUAAAGCUGAGAGCUCUGGGCAGGCUCCAGUGCAACUUCUUUGUGCUUGAUAAGCCUUGUAGGUGUUGUCUUCAGCCCUGGUGCUCUUACCUCUCUGUCUGUUGCCUGAUGAUGGAUUUUUCUCCUUCCACGAUGUUCCCCAAACGUCAAAAUACAGCCACAGUGAUAUCAGGAGCUAAGCCAUUAGUCUAGCACCACAACUUUCUGAUAUUUUCUGUCUUACCCUAGGCAUGAUACAUGGAUACGUGCAGAUGUUGAAUGUCCAUGCACUUAAAUUAAUUCUAUCCCCAAAGCAGAAUGAGACCAAUUAAUUUGUUCUGAAUAUAAUUUCUCUUCAGUUAAGACAAUGCUUCCCGACCUUCCUCAUGCUUCAACCCUUUAAUACAGUUCUCCAUGUUAUGGUGACCUCCCCAUCAUAAAAUUAUUUCAUUGCUACUUCAUACCUGUAACUUUGCUACUGCUAUAAAUCAUAAUAUAAAUAUCUGAUAUGCAGGAUAUCUGAUAUACAAUUUCCAAAGGGCUUACAACCCAUAGUCUGAGAACAGCUUAACUCAAAACACUAUAAACAUGGAAUUAUCAAAGUGCAUAUUUUUCUCUUUUGGUUGUUUGUGGAUUUUUCCUAUGUUUUACUUAAUAAAAAUAAUAUUUACUCUUAAAUCAUGUUUUAUCUUUCUC